rnacentral:rRNA from 1 species
UAGGGAAUCUUCCGCAAUGGACGCAAGUCGGACGGAGCAACGCCGCGUGAGUGAAGAAGGAUUUCGGUUCGUAAAACUCUGUUGUUAGAGAAGAACAGCGCAUAGAGUAACUGUUAUGCGUGUGACGGUAUCUAACCAGAAAGCCACGGCUAACUACGUGCCAGCAGCCGCGGUAAUACGUAGGUGGCAAGCGUUGUCCGGAUUUAUUGGGCGUAAAGCGAGCGCAGGCGGUCAAUUAAGUCUGAUGUGAAAGCCCCCGGCUCAACCGGGGAGGGUCAUUGGAAACUGGUUGACUUGAGUGCAGAAGAGGAGAGUGGAAUUCCAUGUGUAGCGGUGAAAUGCGUAGAUAUAUGGAGGAACACCAGUGGCGAAGGCGACUCUCUGGUCUGUAACUGACGCUGAGGCUCGAAAGCGUGGGUAGCAAACAGG